CGGGCAGGUCGAACGGUCGCCGGCUCAAUCUUUUCGGAUUGGGCGGGAGGAAAGUCCGAACUCCACAGGGUAGUGUGCCCCGUAACGCGGGGGGCUCGCUAGAGCACGGAAAGUGCAACAGAAAAGAUACCGCCGGAGAAGCAGUGGUUAGUGGCUAGUGACAAGUGGCUCGUGGCUAGCUGGAAAUGAAACCUCCGACUAGUCACCAACCACUAGCCACUGAUCACUGCUUUUCAGGUAAGGGUGAAAUGGUGCGGUAAGAGCGCACCGGUUGCCUAGCAAUAGGCAAGCCUGGCAAACCCCACACGGAGCAAAUCCAAAUAGGGAUGGAGGCGUGACCCGCGCCGUUUGACAUCCGGGUAGGACGCCGGACCCGAGAGGUAACUCUUGGGCUAGAGGAAUGACCGUUGCCCGCUGAACAUCCAGCAUGUUUGGGGGGACAGAAUUCGGCUUACAGACCUGCUCCUAUA
rnacentral:RNase_P_RNA from 1 species